AUUCUCUAUUUAUGGGUAGUGCAAACAAAACUGCUCUUUUCUACUAAGAUACCUGUUCAAUGUCCUCUAGCAUUCUUCCUCUGGAAUCAACUCAUCUCUCUUUCUCCAUGGUUAAAUUUCUUCUCCCUUUCUUUCCCGUCUUCCCAUGAGCCUACCUAAAACAAUGCAAUUAUUCAGAAAGGAGUGGUAGACAUGUUGUUAUUUCAAAAUCCAAGAAAACUCCAGGAGUAAAACAAUGCAACUAAAUAUAAAAACAGAUAAAGGUGUUCAUGAAGUCUGCAAUAACAGUAGUGAAAUACUUUUAUUCCUAAACAUGGAGAAUUUUAAAUUGCAAUUGUUUUGACGAUAGCCACUUACAGUUUGUAUAAUCAAGACAAAUGGUUAUCCACAAGCUCUGACUAUCAUGCAGGAAACGUUAUUUCUAGAGAUCUUGUUACAGAAAUACUGGAGGAAAUGAAAGUAGUGCUAAAAUACUUCAGCUAUUUUGUCAUUCUCAUACAUCUUGAUCUCAUGAACACGAACCACCCUCAAGAAACACUUUCAGUGAAGACCAUUCUGCAGAGUGCAUCACAGUGUUUUUCCUGCAAGCAAAAAAGCCCAUACUGAUGUGUAAAUUGUUGCAAUGAGAUAAAAGACAUGUUCCUUUUAGUAACUGCUAUCAUAUUUUAUGCAGCCUUGUUGUGAGGCAUCCUUUGACUUCCUAGUCCUGCCCAGCAGUUAAUUCAGUCACACGCUCCUUCUCUCUCACUACUAUUUCAUAGCAAUCUCUAGAAAAACUCAGUUUUCUGGAUGUCUGGGGAUUCUUCCUGCCUCUGGUUCACACCCAGCUGCCUGUGGACCAUCUAUGGUUAGCACAGCUCUCUAUUUGGCAUAGUCAACAUUGUCAUGGAAAUGAAAACACCAUUACAUCUUGCAAGAAUAUCUCCAGGUGUUUGGGGUACUGGAAUUCACAUCUACUUUGUGCCAGGAAUUCACAUGGCAUCGUAUACAAGAUUAUUUUGGUGCCAUUUUGCUUGUAACUUUGGAUGUGCCAAGAAUACUUUUUGUGAAGAUGCUGCUUUAGACUGAUGCUUGGAAGAGUGAACAGGUCUUUGGGUCAACACACUACUCGAACACAGAUCAUGCGCCUUCUGUGCUAUUUUACCAUUUUGCAAACUAAUAAACUUGUCUGAUGGUCCC